UCUCCGUUGGUGAACCAGCGGAGGGAUCAUUACAGAGUUGCAAAACUCCCACACCCUUUGUGAACGCACUGAAACUACUGCUUCGGCGGGCAGCCCUUCAGGGGGUAGCCCGCCGGAGAAGCACUAAACUCUUCGUUAUUUACUGGCCUCUCUGAGUAACUUAUACAAUAAGUCAAAACUUUCAACAACGGAUCUCUUGGUUCUG
rnacentral:misc_RNA from 1 species